GCAUCUAAUACAAAGUUUCAACAACGGAUCUCUUGGCUCUCGCAUCGAUGAAGAACGCAGCGAAAUGCGAUAAGUAAUGUGAAUUGCAGAAUUCAGUGAAUCAUCGAAUCUUUGAACGCACCUUGCGCUCCUUGGUAUUCCUCGGAGCAUGCCUGUUUGAGUAUC
rnacentral:rRNA from 1 species